rfam:Octopus bimaculoides Scaffold103718_contig_35, whole genome shotgun sequence.
CUUGGGGAUGGUCAUAUUGCCAGUUUAGCCAAUAAAAACACACGCACAGUGCGUGUGUUUUUAUUGGCUAAACUGGCAAUA